CUAAUACAUCAUUCAAAUAAAUAAAGAAACAAUUGUUCUUUAUUAUGAAUAAAAAACCAAACUUAUCCAAACAAGAAAAAAAAAUAUUCAUGCUAAUUGGAGGUACAUAAUAGUAGUUCUCUGACUGGAUUAUUAAACAACUAGGUAAAGUCAAUUCAUAAGUUCCUACAACUAAAGAAAUAACCUUUUCUCCAUUUCCAACCCAUAUAUCAACUUCACAUUUUUCCAAUUUUC
rnacentral:lncRNA from 1 species